rnacentral:rRNA from 1 species
AGUGAACGCUGGCGGUAGGCCUAACACAUGCAAGUCGAACGGCAGCACAGUAAGAGCUUGCUCUUACGGGUGGCGAGUGGCGGACGGGUGAGGAAUACAUCGGAAUCUACUUUUUCGUGGGGGAUAACGUAGGGAAACUUACGCUAAUACCGCAUACGACCUACGGGUGAAAGCAGGGGAUCUUCGGACCUUGCGCGAUUGAAUGAGCCGAUGUCGGAUUAGCUAGUUGGCGGGGUAAAGGCCCACCAAGGCGACGAUCCGUAGCUGGUCUGAGAGGAUGAUCAGCCACACUGGAACUGAGACACGGUCCAGACUCCUACGGGAGGCAGCAGUGGGGAAUAUUGGACAAUGGGCGCAAGCCUGAUCCAGCCAUACUGCGUGGGUGAAGAAGGCCUUCUGGUUGUAAAGCCCUUUUGUUGGGAAAGAAAAGCAGCAGGUUAAUACCCCGCUGUUCUGACGGUACCCAAAGAAUAAGCACCGGCUAACUUCGUG